AUGCAGAAGCGCAGUGGGAACAGCUGCCCCGUCGGUCAGCAGUGAAGCCGGGGGCACUUUCCAGGGACGCCUCGGGACGGAGCGGAGAGGGUGGCUUUGGGGAGCAAGUUCUGUCCACACUGCACACUUACGAGUAAGAACAGUAGAGUCGUGACGCUACACAUGCCGUCAUCCCUCCCAGAAGCGUUUGGCCCGGUGCUUUUUAAAUCAUCGCUGCCGGAUUUCCAUGGAGAGACUUAAGUCGUUUGGUGACUGAAAAGCCCCAAGAGCAUCAGAACCCAGAACCUAAGUUCUUUCUCAAAAACAUGCGAGCAUAUUUUUCUAGUGAGAUUUACAAUGUCAAGUGGAGGCACUUGUUUUAAAACUCCAGAAGACAGUGACUGAACUGGACAAGUUUAAAGAAAUGCUCAAGCACACUACAUUUCUUAAAGAAAAAGAAGACUCUUUAAUGACUUGUCAACAGAUAUAUAAAACUUUACAAGUUUUCUAUGAAAGAAAGGCAAUAAGAAGAUUUAAGAAGAAUUCACCUUGCCGAAAAGGAACCGCAGAUAACCAAAACUCUUCUGAGUCAAAGGAAGAGGUUGUAACACUGAAAAUGAAAGGGAAUUGCUGCUGAUUUCACAUCAGAAAAGCACUGAGCAGCUGCAGGAAGCCCUGAGACAGAAGCUGCUAAGUGAUGCUAACUGGAGGGAGGAGGUAACAGUGUGUGAUUUUCAUCAGCAUGUGUCUUACUGGCUUUUUAAAAUUCUGCUAGAAGACUGUUCCAGAUAGAUUUCUUGGCUGCUGUAUACACUUUUGAUUCCCUCUGGAAUUUCCAACACAAAACAUGCUUAUUAUAUGUGUAUUUUCCAAAAUAUUAGACAACAUAAUGAGAAAUAGAAAACAAGAACAGAUUGUGAAAUCUUGUAAAAUUAAAAUGGUUCUUGGUUUUCAUGCAGAAGCAUAAUUUUUACUUUUAAAUGUUUACCUUUUUCUCAACAUGUCAGGAUAUGCAUUUGACCACAUUCUUUUAAAAGUUUUAUUUGUAUUAGUACAUGUUUGCAGUACGUGAUGAUUACAUUUAUUGUGGGGAGUAGGGCACAAGUACAUUUAACACAUCUCAAUUCUUUUUUCCUCCUCCCCUUCCCUAUUUAAGACAGAUAAUAUUAAUUCUUAUGAGUUCUGUGCUUCUCUCAUAAGGAGAUAAUGUAGGAGAAUGGAAAAUUACUUAAAAUUACUCUUACAAAAUUUUGACAUAUUUAUCCUGGCA
rnacentral:lncRNA from 1 species